GUUGACUCCUUCCCUAAAGGGGAGGAUUGAGGGAGACCUCUUCUUUUGCAAAAUGCAAUAUAAAAAGCCAGGAGUACUGCAGGGACAACCUCACCCAGAGCUGCCUGCACGAUGGUGCAAACAUCUUCUCCGGCUAUUCUAAAAGUAACAGGUAUUCCUUCAAAGAAGCUGGCAGUGGAAGGCCCUUCACUGCAUCGGGGAGAUACUGGAGUCCCAGGCUACGGCGCACGGCAUAGCGAGCGAGUGUUUUUAGAGUUCCUGGAGCUGAGCACAGAACAGUCAGUUUUUCACAUAGCUGCGGGUCUCUGGCCACCUCUCGUGGCAUGGUGCCAUUUUUCCUCAAUUCAAAGUGUCCAACAGCUCUGUGGAGGAGCUCAAAGCAAGAGUCCUCUUUCUCUGUUCCAAGUCCCCUGACUAGCAGAGCCACCAGGCGGGAGAUGGGUGUCUGGCCUAUUAGGUUGAUGACUCUGACCUCUGCGCCAUAAUCCAGAAGGAUGCUGACACUCUCAAGAUUUCCCUUCAUGGCAGCCCAGCUGAGCGGUGUAUCAUUGUUGUAAUCCAGGGCAUUGACAGAGGCCCCGCUCUCUAGGAGAGCCCGCACACACUCAGCAUUGUUCUUAAAGGCUGCCCAGUGAAGUGGGGUAUCUCUGUUGCCAUCCAAAGCAUUGGGGUUUGCACCAUACUCCAAUAGGACCUCCACACAAGCCUCAUCUUUCUCUGCUGCAUAGUGGAGGGCUGUUCGGUUAUACCCAUCCAGGGCAUUCACCUGUAAAAAGGGAGGAACUAUUACAGUAGACAGACUACUGAGAGGAAGACAGGACAGCAGCAAAGAAGCUUGCAUGGUUACCCACUACCUUUGCUAUGCAGUGCUCUGAACAGGAGGGUCAGCAAGCAACUCCCAGGGAGUCCUGGUGAUAAAGAUGAAGAUAUGACAGGAGCUUAGGAGCAAAAAGGAAAAGAACUGUCCUCAAACAGUCAACACUAUUAUGUGCACUGACUAGCUGGUCUGCAUUAUUUUGGUUUUUGCUGCAAUGUUCUUUUAUCUAUUCAUUAGAAUCUCUACCACAGAGUAAGGGGUAAGGCAGGAAUAGAGGAAGUCUAAGUCCCCGUAACUGCUCUGAAACAUUACUGGAAAGCUGCUUGACUAUACAGAGUUUUGGAUUAUUUUACUUACCCUGACCCUUUCUGUACCCUGUGGCUAAUGUAGCAACCAAACUGAAAAACAUAGCUUUUGCUAAGUUCUUUAACCAUACAGAGAAAUUCAAAAUGUUAGAAUAUAAGUCAGACCUUUGCAAAAAUAUGCUGUGGGUUCACAAGAGAACCCAAAUGAAAGCAUGUGAUAGGAAGAGCACAAAUCUCCCAGUGCUGGAAAAGCAGCUGGCUUGCUGACAGUCAGCAUCACCUGUAGUUUUUUUCUUCAAAUUUCCAAAUAGCAUAUACCCUCAUUAAUGAAAGAC
rnacentral:lncRNA from 1 species